GGCAUUUUUAAUCAGCCUAUAAUAAUCUCAUUCUCUCAUGACAGCUGCAAGUAAUGGUAAAAUCCUCAGAAAUAUUCUGAUGUUUCGCAAAUUUCCCUCCUCUCUCAGAGCCUUCUCUACUCAGAGUUUUGUUAAAGAGAUUCCUACCGGGAAACAGGCAAAAUUAGUGGACACUUUCAACAGAGAACACACCUAUCUCAGAAUAUCAAUCGCUGAAAGAUGCAACCUACGAUGUCAAUACUGUAUGCCUUUGGAAGGGGUGGAUCUUACUCCAAAACCAGAUUUGUUAACUACAAGUGAGAUAAUACAGUUAGCUGAGAUAUUUGCUAACCAGGGGGUCAAUAAGAUACGUCUUACUGGUGGAGAACCUCUUAUUAACAAGGACCUUGUUUAUUUAAUUGAGAAAUUAAAAUCGUUGGAUGGAAUUGAAACAGUGGCGUUAACAACGAACGCUGUGACACUGUCUCGCCACUUACCGAGCUUGGUAUCUGCUGGACUUGACAACGUUAACAUUAGUCUGGAUACUUUAGUCCCUCAGAAAUUUGCUUUCAUUGGUCGCCGUCCAGCGGCAACUCUUCAAAAAGUUUUGAAAGGAGUUAGAGAAGCUAUCGAUUCUCCUCUAAAAUCUGUCAAACUGAACACAGUCGUCAUGAAAGGGGUAAAUGAUGAUGAGAUAUGUGAUUUCGUAUCUCUGACGAAAGAAGACCGGAUAUCAGUUAGAUUUCUGGAGUUCAUGCCCUUUUCUGGAAACGCGUGGAGUAAGCACAAGUUCAUACCAUAUCAGGCUCAAAUCAGCAUCAUCGAGGAAAAAUUCGGCAAGCUGAGUCGCCAGAAUGAUGAACAAACCAGUACCUCUAUGAACUACACUGUGGAGGGACAUUCUGGAAGUAUAGGAUUUAUCUCCUCAAUGAGCAGAAACUUCUGUGGUGGGUGUAACAGACUGCGACUUACUCAUGAUGGUAAUCUCAAAGUAAGAAUGAGCUCCGUCUCGUGAACAAAGCGUGUCACGUGUUAGACACGUGUUAUUCUCGUAUGUGUUUGUUUGGGGAAGAUGAAGUGUCCCUACGUGAUACUCUGCGUGAUCCCUCGCUCUCUCAUGACAACGAAAACGAGCUAGUUAAUGUUAUCAGUGCUGCUGUUAAACGGAAAAAGUUCUCCCAUGGAGAUAAACGUGUGACGCCUCCCACAUUCCGCAUUCCUGACCCCAGAAGACAUGUACUUUAUCAAUCUGCUAGGAGUAUGAGCUCCGAAUCAUCCUCUGAACACUAUAGUAAAUAUAGUUCAUUAGGGUUAUCACAUAUAGACUCCACUGGGGAAGCCCAUAUGGUAGAUGUAGGAUAUAAAACUCCGAGUUUUCGGAUGGCCACCGCAGAAAGCACUAUCUCUCUAAACAGAGAGGCUUACGAGAGCGUUGUUAAAAACACAGCCAGUAAAGGGGCCGUUCUAACUGUAGCUAAAAUAGCCGGGAUUCAAGGUGCUAAACUUACUUCCUCUCUCAUUCCUUUGUGCCACCAGAUAAACUUAAACAAGGUUGAUAUCACUUUCACAUUUUCCGACAGUCAAAAAGAAAGUCCGUCCAUUUCAGGCAUGGUUUUAAAUUCUUUACAGCACUCAAAUCCUUGUCUUGAAUCUGUCACAAAAGACAUCUCCUCAGAGGGGGCUCCUACAGAAACUAACCCGACUAGGUUCCAAUUACACAUCAACUGUACAGUGUCUUGUAAUGCUGUGACUGGAGUGGAAAUGGAGGCCCUGGUCGGGGCCUCUAUUGCUGCCCUCACAGUGUAUGAUAUGUGCAAAGCUUUGGACAAAUCUGCUGUUAUUAGUAAUACUAGAUUACUGCGAAAAGAAGGGGGUAAAAGUGGAUCGUUUUUUGUUGAAUAAUUAAAAAGGUGGAGUUAAUUGUGUUUUAUCUUUUAUAAUAGAUUUCCGGAUCUUUUUGAAUUAAUCCCGAUGUUAUAUAUGUAUUUAAGUAAGGUUCAGUUUUAUUUUUACAGCUGGUGGUAAUUUAUUUGCUUAGAGGUUUUUACUGUGUGUAAUUUCUGCCAAUUUCUAUUGCUGUUGUUCGCUUAAAAGUUUUAAGCAUCAGAUCUUGCGAAGUUUUCGCAAGUUUUAUAAAAUCAAUUGAAAAAGGUUAUCUUUAAACAAGAGAAUAUGUGCAUCAUUUAGAUAAAAUACCAAAUUAAUAGAUUAACAUCCUGUUU